GGCGGAGGGUGCAAACGUUGUUCGGAAUCACUGGGCAUAAAGCGCACGUAGGCGGUCAAGCAAGUUCGAUGUGAAAGCCCUCGGCUCAACCGGGGAAUGGCAUCGAAUACUACUUGGCUCGAGGGUGGUUGGGGUGAGUGGAACUCCUGGUGGAGCGGUGAAAUGCGUAGAUAUCAGGAGGAACACCAGUGGCGAAAGCGGCUCACUGGACCACAUCUGACGCUGAGGUGCGACAGCUAGGGUAGCGAACGGG
rnacentral:rRNA from 1 species